rnacentral:rRNA from 1 species
GACGAACGCUGGCGGCGUGCUUAACACAUGCAAGUCGGACGGAAAGGCCCUGCUUUUGUGGGGUGCUCGAGUGGCGAACGGGUGAGUAACACGUGAGUAACCUGCCCUUGACUUUGGGAUAACUUCAGGAAACUGGGGCUAAUACCGGAUAGGAGCUCCUGCUGCAUGGUGGGGGUUGGAAAGUUUCGGCGGUUGGGGAUGGACUCGCGGCUUAUCAGCUUGUUGGUGGGGUAGUGGCUUACCAAGGCUUUGACGGGUAGCCGGCCUGAGAGGGUGACCGGCCACAUUGGGACUGAGAUACGGCCCAGACUCCUACGGGAGGCAGCAGUGGGGAAUAUUGCACAAUGGGCGGAAGCCUGAUGCAGCAACGCCGCGUGCGGGAUGACGGCCUGCGGGUUGUAAACCGCUUUCGCCUGUGACGAAGCGUGAGUGACGGUAAUGGGUAAAGAAGCACCGGCUAACUACGUG